rnacentral:lncRNA from 1 species
AGCUGCACCUGCAACAUAUGGAAGUUCCCAGGCUAGGGGUCAAAAUGGAGUUGCCACCACGAUGCCUGAUUCAAGCUGAGUCUGUGAUCUAUACUGCAGCUUGCGGCAACACUGCAUCCUUAACCCAAUGAGCAGGGCCAGGGAUGGAACUCACAUCCUCAUGUGUAUUAUGUCUGCUUCUUAACCCACUGAGCUACAAUGGGAACUCUCCGAUCACAGUUUCUUACAGAUCAUGUGUUCACCUUGUUUUUAUUUUCAUUUUGAAAGAGGCAUAUGGGUUUGUUUGUGUUUUUUUUUUUUUUUUUUUUUUUUUUUUUUUUGGUCUAAACAAGGACAUAGAGUGAAAAGUAUGAGCUGGCUUUGUCCCAUAUACCUCUAUCAACUUUAAGCAAUUUAUAUUGAUUCCCUACCACGAGAGAAAAAGAUUUUAGGGUACACCAUCCUCCCCUUUUGUCUCCUUCAUAUGUGUAAUAUUGAUUACCUUAAUAUAUAAUCACCUACCAAAACCUCUAUCUCUAUUUAUCAAGAUUAAAGAAUACCAUUCAACUCUACAUCAUGAAGUCGGAGAAAAUGUAUGCCCUUAUGCUUUAUUCCACCUUUUAGCCCCUUCUAUUUCUUACAUUUUAUCACCUAUAUCACUAUUUCACAAUGGCAAGCUUUACAGCAUUUCCAUUUUAUUCAGUAAAUGUAAUUCAUCUUUCCUGCUCUACAAAUAGCUUAACUCUAAAAAUCAAAAAUAAAAUGUUUCUAAUGUUGCAAUUACUUAAGUAUUUUUAUUCAGUGCAGGUUCAGAUAGUGUACUAAAUUGAUUAAAGGAGAUACAAUCAUUAUACCAGUUCCAAGCAUGAAGUUCAAAUGUAUUCUUUUUCUAUAUACAUCAUCAAUUACUCAGAAUUCUGUCACAUUUUGGUUUACUUCAUGGUUGAACUGGAAUUCCCUUUGCAAAUUUUUGUUUUCCCAAGAAUUUAUAAUUGCCUUUCUUUUUUCUUGUUGACAGAAUAACCAUGUCUUUACUCCAUCAUCAAGAUCAUCUAGCUAGUCAGUUUCAGACAAAUCUAUUGUUCAGCUGUGGGGGUUUUCUGUAUGUGUUCUUUGUUUGUUAUAUUUUUCACUUUCUUAAAUUGCUUUUUUGAUAAAGAAAAUCUUCAAAGAAAUUUUCAGAAACAAUGCAUUGUAUGUAAAAUUGUUUGUCCUUUCCUGUCUGAAAAGUAGGGAUUGGUCAAUAGAAGAUUUCCCUUACAGAGUUUCAAGAAAAGAAACCCAUCAGCAAAUGAAGCAGAUGGCUACAAGAGGACAAAGCUUAGAGACAAAGCUCCAACUUUGACCACCAAGGGCAUUCUAAGGGCAAAUGUGGCUACCAGUCACUCUGUGUCAGCUGUUGGGGUGACCAUGUUUGAACCCACGUGUUUGCUUCUGGCUGACUGCUCCUGACUCACCCACAUCUUCACUUUCUACAGGUGGGCCUUAGAGGGUUUGAAAAAGAUUGGAUCUGUUUUUACCAUAGAUAUAAGGGACUUAAUACCAUUUUGCUGAACCUUCCCAAUAUCCUGACCUGUGGUUUGAAACCCCUCCUUCAUUCUGAACCUACUGGCCUUGAUAAAACAAGACAAUCUGAGCCCAAUGACAUGGCCAGCUCCUCUGUCUUCCAAAUGAUUGCAGUUUCCAAAUUCACAUCCUUCAACUUGCCAUUUUUCACUUACAUAUGUCUCUUAUCACAGUGGCUCUCUUCUUGGGGGUUUUCCAAGGUUUUUCUAAGAAACAAUUCUACUUAUUUCUAAGAAUGAAUCAGGAAAGCAGGAAUGAAAAAAAAACCUUUCUCUGUCUUGAAGUUGGAACCACCCGAUACAAAUACACACUUAGAAAAAAAAAUCCCUGGUUACAUCUUUAUUUCUUUUUUUUUUUUUUUUGUCUUUUGCCUUUUCUAGAGCCACACCUGUGGCAUAUGGCGGUUCCCAGGCUAGGGGUCUAAUCGGAGCCCCCAGGAAUCUCCACAUGCCACAGUUUCGGCCCUAAAAAGACAAAAAGACAACAACAAAAUGAAACAAAACAAAAACAAACAAACAAAAAAAUAAGCCUAUUAACCACCGUUGCUGCUGCAUCUGUCAGGCAGCAUCUCAAGUAACUCUAGACUCGCACUCCUGUGAGAAUGAAUCUUUGCUCCGAGUCCUCUGCCAUCAUGUACCUCUCCUUCUCCCCCUUCCCACAGCUAAGCAACCUAAUAAAGUGUGCCUGUAGGAUGGAGUUAAUAAAUGUUAGUGACUAGAACAGGAUUUAUUACUAGCUCCACUUACUAGUUGUUUGAACUUUGGGUCUUCUUGUGCAAAGUGGAGAUAAUAACCUCCCAAGUUUGUUGUGAAGAAUUAAACAAAAUAAAGCAUGUGGAGCCCUUGGUGCAGGACCUGACACAUGGUAAGUACUUGCUGAGUAAUGGCCAUUUCUGUUGAUUCCAUUACUCUUUUCAGAAACAACACACUUUAAUCAUGGACUUCUAGGGCUUAACAAUCCAAAGCAUCUAGGUAGAAAUUCCAGAUACCAGAGUUUGCCUAAGCAGAAUGUUAUCUGGGGCAGCCAUAGCUCUUGUUGUACAUGACAUUAUAAUGUCGUGGAAACAGCUGCCUACUCAAAUUACUACUAGAGCUGGUAUUUGGGAUAGAAAGCAUCUACUUUAUAGAAAAUGGGGAUUUACUAUUUGAGCAUUAAUCCUGGUGCAUUUUUCAGUGACUGGAUCAUCUAACAAAAUCAGCGGGCCAUAAGACUAGGUGAAUAAAGAUAUUAUAAUGUAGAGUCAAUUUUUAUGAUUUGUUAAUAUCGGAAGGCCAUGAGUUGCUCAGUGUAGCUGAAAAUGAGUAUGACUUCAAUAGAGGGAGAUAAAUUUCUUCCAUGUUCGAACUCAGAAUCUGAUUCCACAUGACAUUUGUCCUAGAAUCCUCCUAUAAUCAGCUAGCAAAUUCUGAAAUAGUAUCUGAAAAGUACAGUCAUUAAGGGAUAUUUCUAAUGCCAGCAUAACUCCUUGGAGUGGGGGAUAAGGAAAAGAAGAAGGAAGAGGAGGAGGAUGAAGGAGGAGGGGAGCAAAUGUGUACACACACACACACACACAAACACACACACACCCUGCACACACUACAUCCCACAUUGGCACCUGUCAACCUCCUCUUCCCAUAUCAGCAAAAUAAGUAACUUACUCUUAAAACACUAGGGUUGGAUCCUAGACUCUUCCUAAUUGAUGUCUUUAUCACAAGCCAUGCAAAUGCUAUAUAAUUAGAGAAUUAAUUUUAGAAAUAAAAUGUUUCCAGUUACCAAAUAUAAGAUUAAAAAUAGAUGUUGGAUAUGGCAAUUUAAAAAGCAAUUACAAUACAAUACAAUACAAUAAGAGAUGUGUGUAUCUGACAUGCCUGAAAGUUUAAAACUGAAAUUUCAACAUCACAGCCAUAAUCAGGUAACAAAAAACAAGACUCAAGGAGUGAAUAUGUCCCUAACACUAGCUUGACAAUUUGGGGGAAAAAAAGAGAGAGAGAGAGAGAGAGACUCCCUGGGGGAAAUGCUGACUAAUAUUUUGACCUUCAUAACGAAGAAUGGAUGAUGCCAAUGAGACUUAAGGUAAAAAAGGAGAGACCUAAGACCUCCAAGGACUUUACUAAUAUGAGACUGCUUGAAUUUCCCAGUACCCAACCCCCAAUUACACAGACACACACUCAUAAAGGCACACACACCACACAUUCUAGGAUAUACGCUAGAACUAUGGUCACCAUAAAUUAAGACAUGUUAAGAGAACACACCAAAGUACUGUGUAAAUGAGUAGCAACUAUGAUAGACACGAGUUGGCAGAGGCUCACAUAAGAGCUGAGUACUAAUCCACUGACUUUCAAGAGGAUAGAGCGGUUUGGUUUAAAUUUAGAAAGUAGGCUUGUAGGAACGGCUGGCAGCGCUAACUUUCCACAGACCCUCUGCCCAGCUUCCACUGCCACUGUCUGAUCUUCCAUUUGUCUCAAGACCUGCUUUCAGGUUGUCUGCAUCUCACCUGCCUGCCUUCUGUGACCUGCUACUCACCUGCCUCCCUGAGUCUCAGCCAGGAUCUGCCUGUCCCUGUGGUCCUCCAACCACAUAUGCCAUUUGUGAUUCUCCGUGUGCCCACCGAGGAGUCCAUAUGUUCAGAGACUUCACGGAAAGCUGGAGGUGGAGUCCACACCGAGGGUUAUACCCUCCUGUUGCCGGGCCCCCCUCUUUCCCCUUGGGUCUCCUCUUCCCACUGUGCUUCUGGAGCAAAUCAGCCCCUUGAACUUUCUGAGUCAGCCCUUUGGAGGCUCCAUCUGCUACUUUAAACUGGCUUAUCAAGACAUUUCUUCCAAACAAAGAGAUUAAAUCUCCCUAAGAAAAAAUCCUGUAAUUAGCAUUUUUCAUUCCACUUUUUUUUUAACUUUUCUGCCACGUUUCUUGAAUGACUGCUCAAAUGUCAUCUCCUAAGAGAGGCUUCUUCUGAUCUUUCUAUCCCAAAGCUUCCUUCCUCCCCACUAACCACCCCCUCCCCUGUCCCCUGUCAGUUUCAAUAUAAGAACUCCCAGCUGGAACAAACUGGAGCAACAAAAUAAAGGGGUAUUUGGAAUUAGAGCCCAAAGUAGAAAACAAAUAUGCAUUUGUCUAUACUGAAAUAAACAAGUGACUAAUAAAUUGAGACAAACCUUUCAAUUAAUUUAUGUAGCUGCUCUGUCCUUAAGGAGAGGGAACUGUAACUCCCCUCCCCAUAAGUGUGGGCUGCACACAGCCACUUCCUUCUGAGAAAGACAGUGUGAAGAGAGGGUGGAAGAGUAACCCAGGGAAGAAACCUGACAGACACUGCCUCAGCCAGGGGCUCAAGUCCAACGUCAACAGCCAUAAACCAUGUCCAUCGUGUGUACACUCGAUAUGAUGUGAUGACGGUCU